GCGGGGCGGCGGCUGCCCGGAGCUCAGGCGGGGACCGGCGGCGAGCGGCCGCCGAGGGGAUGCUGCGGCCGGGGGAGCGCUCGGAGCCCCGGGCGGGGGCGGCGGCUGCGGAGAGCGGCGCCGGGCGGCUCGCCCUCUGCCUGCCCGGGGAAAAGACUAGAAGUGAUACAUCAGAGAUUCUGGAUGAGACCAUUCUUCUCAUUAAAGACAAGGUGAUGGAAAUGAACCGCAUCUAUGCCAAAGUUGAUAAAUUAGAGAAAUAGUAAAACUGGAAAGCAUGGCAAGGGAAGUCACAAGGCUGAACACAGAAAAGAAGUUCUCUCUCAGAAAUUUUUAAACAGAUGAAGACUCAGCUUGAAGGAGGACAGGACAGAGAUUUGUGGUUAUUCUGUAUGUGGAGCAGAGACAUCCUUGAUCAGCAGCACGCCCCUAUGACCUGCCAAAGCUCUACCGAAGACUUUUUUCCCAUGAACUAUGUAGGUACUAAGUAUCAAAAUAAUUAAUUUUUCACUACCAAAAGUUUUUUAGGAAAGGCUGUCGGAGUUUAUUCUUACAGUUCAUGCUUUAUGACGUUAGGAAUAAGCAACUGUUACAGAUCUUUGGCUAGUAUCUCUAAGGGAAGUGAAAAAUUUCUGAUCAUAUUGUAGCUCUAUGGAGGCUGGAAUGUUUAUUGUAAGAUUUGAUCACAAUAGUUUGCACUUACUCGAUAAGCUUCCUAAAUGAAUGAAAAAAAUGUACAAAACCUCUCUUCGUUUUCCUACACGUUUUUUACUUUAAGUGAUCAGGAGGUUGAAGAGUACUCUAGUAUAGCAUGCUAAAACUGUCAAGUAACGUGCUAUACAGCCAGCUUCACAAAGGCACAAAUGAUUUUACAAGAGAACGUGAACUCAAUGUCAAAAUUUUAAAAUGCAAUAAACUGCUGAAGCUUCCAGCACUCUAUUUCAAACCAGGAAUAGGGAUUUACAAGCUGUUGUGUAAUAUAAUUUGAAUGGUAUAAAUAAACUUUCUGCAAAGCUGCAAUGGACCUUUGGAUGUGCAGUUUUAUAAGGCAGAUGCUAUUUAGGCAGGACCAGGAGCAGCAUAGUUCAUAUCCGCACCUGUAGCUUUUUUUUUUUGGACUUCAGAAUAGGUCUAGGAAAACAAAACCCACUUGAUUCUCUGAAUAAAGGAACAUUAGGAAGAGAAGGUUAUACGCUUUUCAGAUGACUGGGUCUGUAUACAGUACAAUAUGGAGAAAUGGAAAUAAAUGCUCUUGUUUUCAAAAUACCUG